AAAGGUGUAUAGGAAUAGAAAAUGUUGCUAUGAAAGCUGUCUGGGAAUAGGGAAAUGUCUUGAUUCUGGGUGCUGGGCUACAGUUUUCAGUCAUAUGCGGAAGAAAUUAUUGGUGAGGUAGACUCUGUUCUGAGGCUCUUAGAGCACAGCUGCUUUAGGCAAGAAAAUCUAGGCAAGACACACACCAGUUAAGUUUUUUAUAUAUAGGGUUACCAGCUAGCCAAAAAAAUAAUUGCCCUGACUUGUUCCUGUGCCUUUAAUGGAGGUCUGAGAGGCAGAAAUCAACAGACGAUGCUUUUCAUAGUAUGGAGGUUAACUUGAUUGCCUAAAUGCUGUAGAUCUAGCUGCUGCUUAAGAGGCAGUUACAAGGGCUGGAUCAAAAUUGCAUUUGCAUUUAGCAAUUGCAUUUCUCUAGAGCUGAGUCACACAUGCACAUUUAUUAGUUGAUGAGUGUAACAUUCAGGAAGGACCCUUUCCAAAUCAAGUACCACCGGUGGAACUUUCAUUUCAUUUUUUCAUAUCCUAAAGCCACAGUGCCUUUGGAUAGGGUCAUUCCAGCUUUACCUGCAAGUAAUUUGUUGUUGAGUCAUUCAAAUGAUGGGAAUUCAUGAGACGUAGAUGCACCCAUGUUCUGUCCAUCUCCCAUCCCAAGAGGAAUGGAGAAAGACUUUGUUGCUGGCAUUGGUCAAAGAGCAAGGCUUGGCUUCCAGGUUUCUUGUGCUGGCUCUUUUGGCCAAUCAGAUGAGGCCCUGGGAGUUUGAAUGCUCAUUAUAUUCCUCUGUUGCACAUUUGGCAUUUUUGUAUCUCCCUCCCAGUCUCCUGUAAAGCAAUGCAGGCUUGACUGGUCGCUGCUAAAGCAUUGAGUAGGAAUAUUUUGUUCCUUGGCCAAAUUGACAUAGGGUGGGAGUUGGGGGUUUAGGUUACUCUCCACUGCUUCAGUCUGGGCAUUUAGGUUACUUAGAUGUUGCAGAUGUUAGUCACAACAGGAGGAUCAGCUUGGGAAGAAGUUUUAUAGGACAAAGGGAACCCCUGUCUUGACUGACAGGCUGGUGACCUCCAGGGCUCAAACAAUCAGUCCACCAGGUGGGUGAGAGGGACAUGAGAGCUGUAGGGAGGAAUUAUGGGAGCAAGAAAGGAAGUCUGUGCUGGAAGUGUGGAGGACCUGCAGCAUGAUGACUCUGUAGAUCCUUGGAAGACUGGAUUGCAGGAGGCUUGAUUCCCCCGAGAGUUUUGUUUGCCAGUUAUCGGCAUCAGAAAGAGAGUAUGGGUUUAAAAAAAAAAAAAAAAAGAACAGAUGGGUCAUUCAAAAAUCAAGAUAAGUCUUUCAGUUUGUUUAUGAUGAUUGCAUGGAGAGAAGCAAACAUGCCAGAGAACGAAACCCCUGACACAGCAAAAAGCGAGAAUUCACUCAUUGGGUUGAAAUGAUUUGAAAAUACACAGCGUCUGUUUAAUGUUUAAAGCAGAAGAAAGUGGGAAAGUAACUGAGCAUGAGAUAGCUUUCAAUAAAUAAUCCUGGAAUAAAUAGGCUAUGGACUCUUCAGAAAGUGAUUCCAUUAGCUUGCUUCAAGGCACUGUCAUAGUAUAAAUAAUCAUAAUCCCCAGAUGAUCUUUGGCAUAGUUUGCAAGAGAGAAGGAAAACGAAGAACAAUGGAGCAGACAGCAGCAUUUCCUCGAAUGACAGUGAAUGCGCGUUUAUUGAUUCUUGGUUACCCAAGGUUUCUUGCCAAGAAUAAACUCCGUGCAGGUCAGCCUUUUAUGCUAUCGUCUUUGCCCAUCUUCCUGGUUUAACUCUUACAGCUCAGGUUCAGAAGGAAAGGGAGGCAAGUGUUGGUCUCAUGUAACAUGAGGUUGUUGUACUAGUCCCUGUGAAACCCCCUUAGAAAAUCCCUGGAUAACACGUUAUUUAAAUGAACCUCUAGCACAUUUGCCAUGGUUACUUACUUUUCUCAAUGACAAAUCUUAAAACGGAUUGUCUGUAAAAGACCAUCAGUACUUUACCAAUGUCCCGUUUCUCUCCCCCAUGUUAAAAAAAAACCCUGUCAAAGGUACACCACGUGUGUGAAACUAGUCGAUUUCCUUAAUUCAUCCCUUGAGAAUGGAUAAGUCUAUCAAUCUAUUAAAUUGGAAAGCCAUUAGGAGGCCUGGUUUAUGCGUUUCAAGCUGUUAACUAGAAGUUGAUUGAUUGUUGUUCCUUUGAUAGGAUAUGCUGAUCUAAUCUCACUGUGCUCCAGUUUGCAAUAAAUUACACAA